GCAAGCAGCCAUAUCAUCCUGCAACUCACAACUGACAACCCACUGACAUUAAGCAGGCGUGAGCCUGGUCAGUACCUGGAUGGGAGACUCCUGGGAAACUAAGGUUGCUGCUGGAA
rnacentral:rRNA from 1 species